UACGUAGGGGGCGAGCGUUGUUCGGAAUUACUGGGCGUAAAGCGCGUGUAGGCGGCCAGGUAAGUCGGGUGUGAAAUCCCGGGGCCCAACCCCGGAACUGCAUUCGAUACUGCCUGGCUGGAGUCCCGGAGAGGAAGGCGGAAUUCCCGGUGUAGAGGUGAAAUUCGUAGAUAUCGGGAGGAACACCAGCGGCGAAGGCGGCCUUCUGGACGGUGACUGACGCUGAGACGCGAAAGCGUGGGGAGCAAACAGG
rnacentral:rRNA from 1 species